UUAAAGAAAAGUAAAAGCAAUUCUAACAACGACCUGUGUUUUUUUUUUUUUUUUUUAAACAUUAUGAGCAGAUGCUGAAUUUGGAGUUACCCUCUCUUGGUCAAUUUCCUCUUUGGGUAAAAAGGCUUCAGGAUAUGGAUUUAUGGCAUCUCUUUUAGCUUCGCAGAGCACUUAAAUGCCUUAGUCCUGUGUUUGCUGUGUUAUGAGUAGUUGAGGAAAACCUCUGGUUCUUUCAAAUCAAAUCCCAGUGCAUAUAAUUUCAAAGAUGUUCUAAGUUAUGUGUUUCUGAUGAUGGUGGUGACAUUGCACAGUGGGGAGAGAUUGAGCUUUGGGUCAACCUGGGCAGGAUCUACAGAUGACCGAGUAGAACAGAUGUAAAUGGGACUGGUGUCAUGGUCAUCUGAGUCAUUUCUUCAUCCCUUGCCUCUGCCUACAGUCCUACAUGUUAUCAUUUCUUCUGAUUUUUUUUUUCCUAAUAUGAUUUCCCAAAUCCCAAUUUUAAUUUAAGAGGAAAUAGAGAUAUAGAUUGUGCAUUCCAGGAAAUGAUCUCAUGUGAGUGAAAGCUGUCGAUAUGAAUCUUAAGCCUCUGAUACCAAGUCUAAUGUUUCUUCCUCUGCUUUCUGCAAAAUGUAAUAUUUUUCAUAGUAUGACUGCUCUUACAAAUCUAAAACCCAGAAUGGGACUUAUAUUUUUCAAAGCCACUUACUAAUUCCCUCCAAAUUAUUUCUUCCCUGACUCUAAAAUAUAUGAAGUUUGACUUUUUGCUUUUUAUACAAUAUCCAGUUCCAAAUAUUUGGCUCAGUGUUUAUGCUUCCCUGUGGGAGAGUUUCUUUUAUUUAAAAAAUUAGGUCGAUAUCUGCAAGUUUGAUUGAAUUUUUCCUCUACCAUUGACCAGUUUCUAUUAUGCAGGCGUAUAUUUUCAACCGAUAUUUAAUUCCAAUUUUUUAUGAAUUUAUGUUUUAACAUUCAAAGUUCUUGUGUAUAAAUUACAGUAAAUAAAAUUUGUAUUACAACUAUGCAAAAAUAAAAUGCUUUUUCUGACUAUCACCAA